rnacentral:rRNA from 1 species
AACGUAGGUGGCAAGCGUUAUCCGGAUUUACUGGGCGUAAAGGGUGUGCAGGCGGGGUUGCAAGUGGUGUAUGAAAUCUCCCGGCUUAACCGGGAGGGGUUAUGCCAGACUGCAAUUCUAGAGGACGAGAGAGGGGGGUGGAAUUCCUAGUGUAGAGGUGAAAUUCGUAGAUAUUAGGAAGAACACCAGUGGCGAAGGCGGCUCACUGGCCCGGUACUGACGCUGAGGCGCGAAAGCGUGGGGAGCAAACAGG